CGUAAAAUUUUUUUAAAAAAUAGAUAAAUAAAAGAAUUGCCUUGGCCAUGGUGUCUCUUUACAGCAAUAAAACCCUAGGACAGCCUGUAUGUACAACAUGCAUAUGAAAGUCAAAGAACAAGUUGCUGCAGUCAGUUGGCCACACUCUGGACUCUGGAUAGUGCUCAGGGUUGGCAGCACUCACCUUCAGCUGCUGACCCAUCCUGUUAGCCCGAAGUUGGUCUUUUGAAUUCACCUGUACCUGCUGAGGGCAUUCUGUGUUCAGAUUCUGCGUUUACCCUGUGGCGGUGUAAAGAUGACUCUACCUCGUUCUUUUAUCCAAAGGUGUCACUUGUGUCACCUGAAGAGGAAGUGGGCUUGGUGUCUUGUGCUAGCUACAUAGCUUGGGACUCUUUGGACGACUUUGUAACAUAUCAGAUAUCAUGAAUGUGUGAUAGUAAUAGAGUUCACUGUUAAAUAGGACCAUAGUCAAUAUCAACCAUGUAAACACAUAUGGCAUAUAAAUAUUUGAGGUUCAGAAGGCAAGCAAUGGCCAUUUUUAUUAAUUGGCUAUUUAUUAAUACUACAGUUGUGACGUUAGUCUAGUGUUAUUCUCAUUUGGGAAGCUUCUGAAGAAGACUCUAAUGAGAGCUGGAAGUCCUAGCUGAGAUAUAUGAAGGACUGAAUGUUAAAAAUAAUAUUUGCCUAAGAAGGUCCAGCUUAAUUAAGCCAAAAUUUAACCCCUAUUACUUUGACGUCUCAUCGACUAAUCAUACACGCUGACAUUAGCUAUUCUUCUAGUCGACAACUGCAUGUGAGCAUUGUGCUGCUUCGUUAUUUUGACCCCAUAGUCAUUGUGAAGGUGCUGGUCCCUGCCAUUCACUGGAAACUUUCCACAUCUAACCCUGACUGUUCCUAGACACUAGAAGCAAAAGUGAGCCGUGAAGGAAUGACUACGUCAUCUCUCCGGGCAUACAACUCAAUUCCGCUGUGUCUGCUCAUCACCGCAGAGCUGGUCCAUACCCAUAAAGGCUGACCCAGAACAUCAAGUAGGACAUUGCGGGGCAUCUUUCCCUAAGGACGUAUUUCAGGUGGUUCUCUAAUGACCCUUGGAACUUGACUGCCUUUUGCCAAAAAUAAACUGAAACUAAGCAUUCAUGAUGCUAUAAUUUGUCGCAAGUGACUAUGACCCUGAAUCUGGGUCGCAGAUCACUUAACUGUCUCUGAGCCAUUGUUCUGGUUCAGGUUUGUUCCAGACAUCUGGCAGCCUGUUCCUUUUGCAAGCAUGCUCAAGUCCAUUCAUCUCUAGCUUGUUUGUGUUUGAGAGCAGUUGUUUUGUCCAGUAUAUCCACAGCAGAAAGAUUUGUCUCCUCCUUCAGACCUGGCCAUUUGAAAGGAGAGGAUCUUUACAGCUUUUUAAUCCUCCUCCUGCCAUCUUUCCAUGCGACCUGCAGGGUGCCUAUGAGGCAAAUGCCAGGUCUUUAUCAGACGAUCCUUCCGUCAUCAUCUGGUUCUUAACUCUGGUAAAGAAGUAUGGUUCCAUGGGCAAAUGCUUGGGGAUUUGUCUACUGGUCUCUUUUCCUUGGGUCACUGUUGUUGUUAUUGUUUUAGGUAUUUCUUUUUAAUACAUUUACUUAUUUGUUUAUUUAUUUGUUUGUUUAUUUUACAGCCUGCCGUAGUUUUCCCUCCCUCCUCUACUCUCAGUCCCUCCCCCGACCUCUCCACAUCCCAUUCCCAGCCCCCAAUCCACUCCACCUCCGUUUCUGUUUAGGAAAGGCCAGCUCUCCCAUGAGUAUCAACAAACGUGGCAUAUCAAGUUGCAGUAAGACGAAACACCUCCCUGGGGAUUAAGGCUGGGCAAGAUUAGAAGGCCCACAAAAGAACCCAAGCUAUACAACUGUAACAUAUGUGUAGAGGGCCUAGUCAGUCCCAUGGGGGCUCCCUGGUUGUCAGUUCAGUCUCUGUGAGCCACUAUGAGCUCAGGUUCGUUGAUUCUGUAGGUUUUCUUGUUGUGUCCUUGACCUCUCUGGCUCCUACAAUCUUUUCUCUCCCUCUUCCGCAGGAUCCCCUGAACUCCACCUAUUGUUUGGCUGUGGGUCUGUGUCUGUUUCCAUCUCUUGCUGGAUGAGGCCUCUCUGAUGACGAUUGGGCUAGGCACCAACCUGGUCACAGGAGAUGGCCAGCUCAGGCUACAAAUUUGCUCUUGCUAGGAGUCUAAGCUGGGAUCGUCUUGAUGGAUUCCUGGGAGAUUCCCUUGCACCAGGUUUUUACCUGACACCCCCCCCCCCGCCCUGACCCACACCUACACAUAAUUUCCAGUAGUCUUUUUCAGUACUCUCUCCUUCGAGGGGCUCGUUCUAUCUCUCUUCUUCCUCAGAAGGCAGAGCAGAACAGUAGCAAUGCUUGUGGAAGCUGCUGAUAAUUGUUUGGGGAAAUCAGGCUGGGGAAUGUUGCUUUUCUUUUCUUUGUUUGUUUUUCAAGACAGGGUUUCUCUGUAGCUUUGGAGCCUGUCUUGUAGACCAGGUUGGCCUUGAACUCAGAGAUUUGCCUGUUUCUGCCUCCUGAGUACUGGGAUUAAAGGUGUGUGCUGCUUUUCUAACUGGCCUAUUUUAGAUUUAGAAUCAUAGCGUCCUUAAUCCAGUCAAAUACUGUAGGCUGGAGAAGUUCCUGAAUCUCACAAGCUUUUUGUAUCUUCAGUACCAUGUGGCUAAGUUAAAGUUACACCAUCUCUGGGACAGGACAUUGAAAGAGUGAGAAAUGAACAACUGCCUUUUCCCUGUCCUUGUUGAGCCAAAGCCAGGACUCUCCCGGUGGCACACAGAGACGGUGAUGUAGGUGCGAGUUCUACGUCCUCUAACCAUGUUCAAGACUUCAGGUUUUUCUAGAAAAAGCAUGAAGUUGUCUGGGUUCCACUCAGAAACCUCUCAGUUCUUCUGACUUUUGCUUCAGACAUCUACUGAAGGAUCUAAAUUUGCUACACUUCCCUCGGGGCUAGUAGUGGAAUCUGCAGGCUGUUUCUGUGAGGCAGACUGACUGCCAGCUCCACUGCCAGCUUGAUUCGUUGCUGC